CCUAUAUUGUAUAUAUUAUCAUUACCAUUUCCCAACGAUUUUGCAAAUAAGAAAAACGCAACACACACACCGCGCGAUUGGCGCUGCACGAAUGAAGAAAACGCAAAGAAGAUCCAACAGCCAAGCCAAAUGGAGUCCACAAACGACCCCCGAGUGUUGUAUACAUGUACGUCCGUGAGUGAGUGUGUGCACAGGAGCUCGGAUAAAAACAACAACUGCCAGCUGUGUGAGCAACACAGUGGAUGUGGAUGCCAUUCGAGAAGUGUUGGGAAAACAUCCGCGCUCAAGGGGUUACAUGGACUUUAACGUCUGAUUAAUGCUGGAUAUGACAGGCUACUGAAGUUCCAUUAUCGAAUAGAAUGUUAUUAAAUAACUUUUAAAAAUGGCGAAACCCCUUUAGAGCAUUGUAACACUUCAACUGGCCAGGAUGUUUUGCAGAAACCCUAGCAAUUGGCGUUGUUAUACACACAUGCAUAUAUACACAAAAUAAAUACAUAUACAUUCACA